rnacentral:misc_RNA from 1 species
UAACCCUUGUGGAGGAGGACGCCGAAGGUGGGGCUAAUGACUGGGGUGAAGUCGUAACAAGGUAGCCGUACCGGAAGGUGCGGCUGGAUCACCUCCUAACAGGGAGACAACAAAAUGUUUAAUAUUAUUAUUUUGUCACCUUAGGUCGAUCGGUAUCUCACGUUUUUAAUUUAUUAAGAAUUUCAUUUCCUAAGUUUUUCUAGGUCACACCCAUUAUUUUUCCUGGGCCAUUAGCUCAGGUGGUUAGAGCGCACCCCUGAUAAGGGUGAGGUCCCUGGUUCAAGUCCAGGAUGGCCCAUAUCUCUAUGUUGGGGGUAUAGCUCAGUUGGUAGAGCGCCUGCUUUGCAAGCAGGAUGUCAGCGGUUCGAGUCCGCUUACCUCCACUGAUCACCACCUCUUCCAUAAUCAGAAGAAAGGAAAUUUUUUGAGUUGUGAUCAAAUUCUGAAAGAAUCUAGCUUCCUAAUGAAAUCAUUAAGAUGCUGGACUCAUUGAAUUAUUUUCAUUGUUUUCAGAGAACCUUGACAACUGCAUAGAUUAUUUUUAAAGACAAUAAGCAUCUUUAAUGAUGCAGAUUUAUUAUUUGUGCAAAUGCAUUAAUAACAAUUCUAUUAAGCUGAUGCUUCAAUUUUUGAAGUUAUUGGUCAAGCUACAAAGGGCUCACGGAGGAUACCUAGGCACACAGAG